GUGGGAACGGCACGGCCGCGAAUCCGACCUGUCCCCGUCUGGGGCUUGGGAUCGCGGCAGUGC
rnacentral:ncRNA from 1 species